UUCAAGCCCAGAAGAGCAUCCUGCAAUCUAACUCUUCUUUCCUCUUUUCCACUUUAAAGGGAUUGCCAGGACAAGAUGGGCCACCAGGACCUCAGGGUAUCCCAGGAUGCAAUGGAACAAAGGUGGAAUUCCUUUAAGAAUCUUAAUGCAGCAAUAGUAUGGUAAAGAGUUCUUGUUCUCCUGACUGUAAGCCAAUAGGUUUAGUCUGUUGAGUGCCACAGUACUUGCUGUUACUGAGUUGUGCAGGUAAUUCCAAGAUAAUUCAGACUUACACACCUGUUUGAGAGAAGGGGUCAUUGUCUGGUACUUAAAGCACAAGUUCUGCCAGAAAUUGCCAGCACCAAGACACAACAUUGUGUACUCUGUAGCCGAUAUAGUUAAACUGUGUUCUAAUCCUUAAGUGUGUAGCUUACAACUGAGAGGUGUGUCUGAUAAUGAGCUCAGAUGCUGUGUCUCGUCAUUGUAGUACUCUUGCUACCAAGAAAAUCUCAUUACUUAGCAGUGAGACUUUUUAAUUCUUAAUUUUUUAAUAUUAUAUUGAAAAUACUGGUUUAGUGUCUUUGUUGGAGGGAGUCAUUUUAUUCUGACAUGCUACUUAGCUUCACAUUAUGAUUUUCCCAGAAGAAAAGUUGAUCUUCUAUAACAUUCCAUGGGUUUUCCAUCUCUGUAGUGUAGUACUUUGCCUGGAAGUAUGCAGAAACAUGUGACUGUGGAAAUUUCUGUUUUAAUCAGUUGUAUAAAUUAACUAAGAUUUUUCUAUAGCUUGUUCCAAUACAAUUUGCUAUUCUGGAGUCAUAAGCUAACAAUGACACUAGACUUUGAGUGAAAAUUUGUUUUUCUGGUUUUGUUAUGUUUUGAUUUGGUUUUGGCUAAUAAUUUUCUUCAUCCCUAAGGGAGAACGUGGAUUCCCAGGCAGUCCAGGUUUUCCUGGUUUACAAGGGCCUCCUGGACCUCCUGGUCUGCCAGGUAUGAAGGGUGAAGCAGGUGAAAUAAUUACAUCCUUGCAGCCAGGACAGAAGGGUGACCCAGGAUUUCCAGGUCUUCCAGGGAUACCUGGCCCACCCGGCUCCGUGGGAAUACCAGGUCCAGUUGGCCCCCCAGGGCCCCCAGGUUUGACGGGACCUCCUGGUCCACCAGGGCUGCCAGGACCCAAGGGUAAUAUGGGUUUGAAUUUCCAAGGACCCAAAGGUGAAAAAGUGAGUAGGUGA
rnacentral:lncRNA from 13 species